AUUGAACGCUGGCGGCGUGCUUAACACAUGCAAGUCGAUCGGUAACGCGGGGGCAACCCUGGCGACGAGAGGCGGACGGGUGAGGAACGCUUGGGAAUCUGCCUAUCAGCGGGGGACAACCCGGGGAAACUCGUGCUAAUACCGCAUACGCUCUACGGAGGAAAGCCGGGGCCCGCAAGGCCUGGCACCGAUAGAUGAGCCCAAGCCGGAUUAGCUGGUUGGCGGGGUAACGGCCCACCAAGGCGACGAUCCGUAGCUGGUCUGAGAGGACGAUCAGCCACACUGGAACUGAGACACGGUCCAGACUCCUACGGGAGGCAGCAGUGGGGAAUAUUGGACAAUGGGGGAAACCCUGAUCCAGCGACGCCGCGUGGGUGAAGAAGGCCUGCGGGUUGUAAAGCCCUUUCGGUAGGGACGAAAGCUCUCGACCUAACACGUCGGGAGGUUGACUUAACCUACAAAAGAAGCACCGGCUAACUCUGUGCCAGCAGCCGCCGUAAAAC
rnacentral:rRNA from 1 species